rnacentral:lncRNA from 1 species
AGAAGAGCCAAUAUUUCAGUUUGAGUCUGAAGGCAGGAAAAGACUGAUGUCCCAUCUCAAAGCAGUCAGGCAGAGGGAGUUCCCUCUUGUUCUCACUCAAGGAAGGAUGGCGCAGUGCUCCCGCUGUUCCGAGGCUCAGCUACCCUGAGGGAGGCAGGGAAUUUUGAUCAGCUUCUGAAGAAUCACCUCAUCUCUCCCCGCAGAGAGCACAGAGCACAGGACUUCACGUUAUGUCAACAUCUCUUGCAAAAGCCCAGCUCCUAGAGAGCAGGAGCCUUCCCAGACUGUGUCAAAUUACCUCGGGGAUGGAGAGACUUACAUGGCAUUAAUAGAAAUCAAAUGGCAGAGCUCGGGUUUCUGGUAAGAGCGGGUCCUGGCUCCUUCCUUACAUGAAGACCUGUCCAACACUGCUUGCUAUCUCCUCCUGUGCCAUCUGAAAUCUGUGCCUCAAACCGACCAGCAGCCUUCUAAAUCUCUUUAUUCUAAAUUUGGCGCAAACUUCUUUCAUCUGUGACUUUUGGAGUCUUCUGCUGCAUCACCCCAUGAUCCAACUUGGAGUUGGGCUCUGUUUCAUUGACUUAC